rnacentral:rRNA from 1 species
CCUACGGGGGGCAGCAGUGAGGAAUAUUGGUCAAUGGGCGGAAGCCUGAACCAGCCAAGUAGCGUGCGGGAUGAAGGCCCUACGGGUCGUAAACCGCUUUUGCAAGGGGAUAACACCCUCCACUUGUGGAUGUCUGCAGGUACCGUGCGAAUAAGGGCCGGCUAAUUCCGUGCCAGCAGCCGCGGUAAUACGGAAGGCCCGAGCGUUAUCCGGAUUCAUUGGGGUGAAAGGGAGCGUAGGCGGGCGUGAAAGUUAGCUGUAAAAUCGGGCGGCUCAACCGAGCCACGCAGUUGAAACUGGACGUCUUGAGUUCACAACAGGCAGGCGGAAUUCGUGGUGUAGCGGUGAAAUGCAUAGAUAUCACGAGGAACCCCGAUUGCGAAGGCAGCCUGCCGGGGUGCGACUGACGCUGAGGCUCGAAGGUGCGGGUAUCAAACAGGAUUAGAUACCCUAGUAGUC